GACAGAGGUCCCAAGCGUUAGGCGGAAUCACUGGGCUUAAAGCGUGUGUAGGCGGAUUUGUAAGUACCUUGUGAAAUCCCACGGCUCAACCGUGGAACUGCUUGGUAUACUGCUUAUCUUGGGCCAUCUAGGGGCGAGCGGAACAAACGGUGGAGCGGUGAAAUGCGUAGAUAUCGUUUGGAACGCCAAUGGUGAAAACAGCUCGCUGGGGAUGUGCCGACGCUGAGAUACGAAAGCCAGGGGGAGCGAACGGG
rnacentral:rRNA from 1 species